UCUCCGUUGGUGAACCAGCGGAGGGAUCAUUACCGAGUUAUACAACUCCCAAACCCACUGUGAACCUUACCUCAGUUGCCUCGGCGGGAACGCCCCGGCCGCCUGCCCCCGCGCCGGCGCCGGACCCAGGCGCCCGCCGCAGGGACCCCAAACUCUCUUGCAUUACGCCCAGCGGGCGGAAUUUCUUCUCUGAGUUGCACAAGCAAAAACAAAUGAAUCAAAACUUUCAACAACGGAUCUCUUGGUUCUG
rnacentral:misc_RNA from 1 species